ACGUAGGUGGCGAGCGUUGUCCGGAAUGACUGGGCGUAAAGGAUGCGUAGGCGGGCUAAUAAGUGAGAUGUGAAAAACCUGGGCUCAACCCAGGAGGUGCAUUUCAAACUGUAAGUCUAGAGUGCAGGAGAGGUAAGCGGAAUUCCUAGUGUAGCGGUGAAAUGCGUAGAUAUUAGGAAGAACACCAGUGGCGAAGGCGGCUUACUGGACUGUAACUGACGCUGAGGCAUGAAAGCGUGGGGAGCAAACAG
rnacentral:rRNA from 1 species